rnacentral:tRNA from 2 species
UUAGUUGAAACCAAAAUUAGAGGUAUAUUACUGUUAAUGAUAUCAAUGAAAAAUAUUCCAACUAAA